CAGCCGUAAACGAUGCGCGUUAGGUGUAUCGGUGACCACGAGUCACCGAGGUGCCGAAGGGAAACCGUGAAACGUGCCGCCUGGGAAGUACGGUCGCAAGGCUGAAACUUAAAGGAAUUGGCGGGGGAGCACAACAACGGGUGGAGCUUGCGGUUUAAUUGGAUUCAACGCCGGAAAUCUUACCGGGACCGACAGCAACAUGAAGGCCAAGCUGAAGACUUUGCCGGAUUAGCUGAGAGGAGGUGCAUGGCGUAGUCGUGU
rnacentral:rRNA from 1 species